rnacentral:rRNA from 1 species
AUCCCCAUAACGGAGAGACGCCACGCAUUGUGAGAAUUUCGACCAUGGAGGGAGCCUGAAUCAGCAUGCCGGCGUGGCAGGAAAGACGUCUAUGGAUUGUUAACCUUGCUUUUUGUACCGGGAGAACAAGGGGCACGUGGUGCCCUCUGAGCGGGUACGUAAGAAUAAGGAUCGGCUACUCCGUGCCAGCAGCGCGGUAAUACGGAGAUCCGAGCGUUAUCCGGAUCAUUGGGUUAAGGGUCGUAGGCGGCCAUAGUCAGGGUGAAGUCUGCGGCUCAACCGUAGAAAUGCCUUGAUACUGGUGGUCUGAGUUAUGGUGAAGUAACUAGAAUAUGUAGUGUAGCGGUGAAAUGCAUAGAUAUUACAUAGAAUACCGAUUGCGAAGGCAGGUUACUAACCAUAUACUGACGCUGAUGGACGAAAGCGUGGGGAGCGAACAGGAUUAGAUACCCUGGUAGUCCACGCCGUAAACGAUGGAUACUAGCUGUCCGGAUGCAAAUCUGGGCGGCCAAGCGAAAGUGAUAAGUAUCCCACCUGGGGAGUACGUCCGCAAGGAUGAAACUCAAAGGAAUUGACGGGGGCCCGCACAAGCGGUGGAGCAUGUGGUUUAAUUCGAUGAUACGCGAGGAACCUUACCAGGGCUUAAAUGUGGUCUGACAGCUUUAGAGAUAGAGCCUCCUUCGGGCAGAUCACAAGGUGCUGCAUGGUUGUCGUCAGCUCGUGCCGUGAGGUGUCAGGUUAAGUCCUAUAACGAGCGCAACCCCUACCGUUAGUUGCCAGCAUGUUAAGAUGGGGACUCUAACGGGACUGCCGGUGCAAACCGUGAGGAAGGUGGGGAUGACGUCAAAUCAUCACGGCCCUUACGUCCUGGGCUACACACGUGCUACAAUGGCCGGUACGGCGGGAAGCCACCACGCAAGUGGGCGCGGAUCCACAAAACCGGUCACAGUUCGGAUCGGGGUCUGCAACUCGACCCCGUGAAGCUGGAAUCGCUAGUAAUCGGAUAUCAGCCAUGAUCCGGUGAAUACGUUCCCGGGCCUUGUACACACCGCCCGUCAAACCAUGGAAGCCGGGAGUGCCUGAAGUCCGUCACCGCAAGGAGCGGCCUAGGGCAAAAUCGGUAACUAGGGCUAAGUCGUAACAAGGUAACCGUA